rnacentral:rRNA from 2 species
UUAAGCGACUAAGCGUACACGGUGGAUGCCCUGGCAGUCAGAGGCGAUGAAGGACGUGCUAAUCUGCGAAAAGCGCCGGCGAGGUGAUAUGAACCUUUGACCCGGCGAUGUCCGAAUGGGGAAACCCAGUGCAAUUCGUUGCACUAUCGUUAACUGAAUACAUAGGUUAACGAGGCGAACCGGGGGAACUGAAACAUCUAAGUACCCCGAGGAAAAGAAAUCAACCGAGAUUCCCCCAGUAGCGGCGAGCGAACGGGGAGCAGCCCGGAGUCUGAAUCAGCUUGUGUGUUAGUGGAACGGUCUGGAAAGUCCGACGGUACAGGGUGAUAGUCCCGUACACGAAAGCACACAUGCUGUGAACUCGAAGAGUAGGGCGGGACACGUGGUAUCCUGUCUGAAUAUGGGGGGACCAUCCUCCAAGGCUAAAUACUCCUGACUGACCGAUAGUGAACCAGUACCGUGAGGGAAAGGCGAAAAGAACCCCGGCGAGGGGAGUGAAAAAGAACCUGAAACCGUGUACGUACAAGCAGUGGAAGCCUCUUUAUGGGGUGACUGCGUACCUUUUGUAUAAUGGGUCAGCGACUUAUAUUCUGUAGCAAGGUUAACCGUAUAGGGGAGCCGAAGGGAAACCGAGUCUUAACUGGGCGUUAAGUUGCAGGGUAUAGACCCGAAACCCGGUGAUCUAGCCAUGGGCAGGUUGAAGGUUGGGUAACACUAACUGGAGGACCGAACCGACUAAUGUUGAAAAAUUAGCGGAUGACCUGUGGCUGGGGGUGAAAGGCCAAUCAAACCGGGAGAUAGCUGGUUCUCCCCGAAAGCUAUUUAGGUAGCGCCUCGUGAACUCAUCUUCGGGGGUAGAGCACUGUUUCGGCUAGGGGGCCAUCCCGGCUUACCAACCCGAUGCAAACUACGAAUACCGAAGAAUGUUAUCACGGGAGACACACGGCGGGUGCUAACGUCCGUCGUGAAGAGGGAAACAACCCAGACCGCCAGCUAAGGUCCCAAAGUCAUGGUUAAGUGGGAAACGAUGUGGGAAGGCACAGACAGCCAGGAUGUUGGCUUAGAAGCAGCCAUCAUUUAAAGAAAGCGUAAUAGCUCACUGGUCGAGUCGGCCUGCGCGGAAGAUGUAACGGGGCUAAACCAUGCACCGAAGCUGCGGCAGCGACGCUUAUGCGUUGUUGGGUAGGGGAGCGUUCUGUAAGCCGUUGAAGGUGUGCUGUGAGGCAUGCUGGAGGUAUCAGAAGUGCGAAUGCUGACAUAAGUAACGAUAAAGCGGGUGAAAAGCCCGCUCGCCGGAAGACCAAGGGUUCCUGUCCAACGUUAAUCGGGGCAGGGUGAGUCGACCCCUAAGGCGAGGCCGAAAGGCGUAGUCGAUGGGAAACAGGUUAAUAUUCCUGUACUUGGUGUUACUGCGAAGGGGGGACGGAGAAGGCUAUGUCAGCCGGGCGACGGUUGUCCCGGUUUAAGCAUGUAGGCGGAGGUUCCAGGUAAAUCCGGUACCUUAUUAACGCUGAGGUGUGAUGACGAGGCACUACGGUGCUGAAGUGAUAAAUGCCCUGCUUCCAGGAAAAGCCUCUAAGCAUCAGGUAACACGAAAUCGUACCCCAAACCGACACAGGUGGUCAGGUAGAGAAUACCAAGGCGCUUGAGAGAACUCGGGUGAAGGAACUAGGCAAAAUGGUGCCGUAACUUCGGGAGAAGGCACGCUGAUAUGUAGGUGAAGUCCCUGCGGACGGAGCUGAAAUCAGUCGAAGAUACCAGCUGGCUGCAACUGUUUAUUAAAAACACAGCACUGUGCAAACACGAAAGUGGACGUAUACGGUGUGACGCCUGCCCGGUGCCGGAAGGUUAAUUGAUGGGGUUAGCGGCAACGCGAAGCUCUUGAUCGAAGCCCCGGUAAACGGCGGCCGUAACUAUAACGGUCCUAAGGUAGCGAAAUUCCUUGUCGGGUAAGUUCCGACCUGCACGAAUGGCGUAAUGAUGGCCAGGCUGUCUCCACCCGAGACUCAGUGAAAUUGAACUCGCUGUGAAGAUGCAGUGUACCCGCGGCAAGACGGAAAGACCCCGUGAACCUUUACUAUAGCUUGACACUGAACACUGGUCCUUGAUGUGUAGGAUAGGUGGGAGGCUUUGAAGCGUGGACGCCAGUCUGCGUGGAGCCAACCUUGAAAUACCACCCUUUAAUGGCUGGUGUUCUAACGUAGACCCGUAAUCCGGGUUGCGGACAGUGUCUGGUGGGUAGUUUGACUGGGGCGGUCUCCUCCCAAAGAGUAACGGAGGAGCACGAAGGUUGGCUAAUCCUGGUCGGACAUCAGGAGGUUAGUGCAAUGGCAUAAGCCAGCUUGACUGCGAGCGUGACGGCGCGAGCAGGUGCGAAAGCAGGUCAUAGUGAUCCGGUGGUUCUGAAUGGAAGGGCCAUCGCUCAACGGAUAAAAGGUACUCCGGGGAUAACAGGCUGAUACCGCCCAAGAGUUCAUAUCGACGGCGGUGUUUGGCACCUCGAUGUCGGCUCAUCACAUCCUGGGGCUGAAGUAGGUCCCAAGGGUAUGGCUGUUCGCCAUUUAAAGUGGUACGCGAGCUGGGUUUAGAACGUCGUGAGACAGUUCGGUCCCUAUCUGCCGUGGGCGCUGGAGAAUUGAGGGGGGCUGCUCCUAGUACGAGAGGACCGGAGUGGACGCAUCACUGGUGUUCGGGUUGUCAUGCCAAUGGCACUGCCCGGUAGCUAAAUGCGGAAAAGAUAAGUGCUGAAAGCAUCUAAGCACGAAACUUGCCCCGAGAUGAGUUCUCCCUGAGACCUUGAGUCUCCUGAAGGAACGUUGAAGACGACGACGUUGAUAGGUCGGGUGUGUAAGCGCAGCGAUGCGUUGAGCUAACCGAUACUAAUGAACCGUGAGGCUUAACCUU